GUGAGUUUGGUGCAUGAUAGAUUUGCAUAAUUAAGGGAAAGGGAGCUUUGUUUAUAAGUUCAACAGUGUAGAAGAAUUUAAAUUGCAUAAAAUUUUAAUAAAAAAUUCUACUUAAUAUCAAGAGCAAAAAUAAUACUUCUGAUUUAAAUUUUGUCUUUUAUCAUUAUUUUUUUAUGAGAUUUUUAUUUUCAGUGUUUGUUUUGAGACUACUCAUUCACUAGGCAAAUAAAUAGUUCUAAUAAUAUAGAUUAUACCUAAUGAAGCCAAUCGUCGAAUCAGAUGUUCCAACAUCGAAAACAACUUACAAGUACAGAGACCUUCGUACUUUCGAAAACGUAGGAGCCUAGUUCCAUGCAUUAUUUCCUUAGUUAUUUU
rnacentral:lncRNA from 1 species